rnacentral:rRNA from 1 species
UACGUAGGGUGCGAGCGUUAAUCGGAAUUACUGGGCGUAAAGCGUGCGCAGGCGGUUUUGUAAGCCAGAUGUGAAAGCCCCGGGCUUAACCUGGGAAUGGCAUUUGGGACUGCAAGGCUGGAGUGUGGCAGAGGAGACUGGAAUUCCUGGUGUAGCGGUGAAAUGCGUAGAUAUCGGGAGGAACAUCAGUGGCGAAGGCGGCUGCCUGGCCCAAUACUGACACUCAGGUGCGACAGCGUGGGGAGCAAACAGG